GACUGCAGUAAAGUCUUGAGGGAGACCUGUAACAGUGGACCAUGCCCCAGACAGUGAGUAACCCCCCGGGCUUGUGCAUUAGUGCCAAAACCAUUCCAGAGAGAGAGACGAUAUAUUCAUGCACUGGCGCCACAGACCCUGUUCCAGAGAGGAAGGUGAUGUAUUCAGGCAAUGGUAUACUGGACCCUGCUCCAGACCGUAGGUACAGGCAGGCCUAUUCUUCCAGGUAUAGGUGGAAAUGGAGGAGGAAGUCAAAAAAAGAAACACAGCCGUUGCCGCCAGCCCCACCUCUGCCACCGUAUGAGGAAGAAAACUGGGAGGAGGAGAUGGGAAUCGUUGAGACAUAUGGAUUUGCUCCAUAUGGACUUUUUCAUGGAGGGUGGUGUUCAGUGAUACCAAAUUGGAGAAGACAUUUUGCUGAAACAGAGGUGCUAGAGGACUUGUUCAGCCCAGAGGAUGUGGAUAGAGUGGCCCUACAGGGGUUGACCCUGAACCAGCCCCCCUGCCCUCCCCACCCCCAGACAGCAACCGACUACAGCCCUGCCACGCACCACCAAGCCCCCAUCAAAUGGGUCUGCCACAUCAUCUGCAUCGUGAAGGAGCAGUUUGUCGACGCAGAGGUUUGAGGUCCGUCCUCUUGUCGGUAUAAGUGGGAAGUCACCCAGUCAAAGAGAUGGAGGUAAACAAGGUUAGAAGAUUUGCACAUUGCUUUUCCCCUCAGCCUAGAGAGCUCUCUCUCUCUCUCAUUUAUAUAUUUGCUUUGCAUGGGAGAUGGAGUGUCAUUGGUUUUACAUAGCAGCUGAAAUCUCAGGUUUUGCCGUGUGUGUGUGUGUGUGUGUGUGUGUGUGUGUGUGUGUGUGUGUGUGUGUGUGUGUCAUAGAAGCAGGUGUCUGGAUCCUCACCUAGACAGCGAUUCUUCACACUUCUCCUGUUAAACCUCACAGAUCCCCAUGCCUGUCAUUUUAUUCUUAUGGCUUACUGUGUGUGUUGAGCUGCAAGCUGUAACUCGAUAAGCUAAUUCUACCCCCAUUUUAAUUUGGGGCUCCCAAGGAACCUCAUGCAGAGUGGCUAGAUGCAUUACCGUGACAGCAAAGCGUAUGUCCCAUAAUAUAAAACUCAAGUUGUGACACUUGAGGCCUUUUACCUUUGUACACACUGGACUCCAACACCUCUUUAUUCGCUGACUUCAUCAUGACAGUGCGUCAGACAACACAUUAACACAUCCCACAGCUGCUUCUGUCACAUUUCACCUGGCUAGAAGCUACCAUAGACAAGUGAUUCCACCAUGUUAAAUACCAUUUAGUACAGUUACAACACAACCAGGCCUUUUCAUAUCAGUCUGUUGGUGAACCCAGUCCCCUGUACUGCACACAGUUUCUUAAGUGUUCCUUAAAUAUAAAGGGCUCUGGGUGGUUGGCCUGGUGCCAGCUUGGGUUGCCUGCCUGGGGUUUUCCUCUUAAUGACUCUGCCUUGUGAUCAGCCAGUCAACCAGCUGUCAGGCCCUGACCAUAGAGAGCCCUUGUUUCUCUAUGGUGUAGUAGGUCAGGGCGUGACUAGGGGGUGUUCUAGUUUAACAUUUCUAUGUUGGUGUUUUGGUAUGGUUCCCAAUUAGAGGCAGCUGGUAAUCGUUGCCUCUAAUUGGGGAUCAUAUUUAAGUAGCAAUUUUUUCCACCUGUGUUUGUGGGAUAUUGUUUUGUGUAUAGUGCAUGUAGCACCACGUAGUCACGUUUCGUUGUUCGUUUAUUGAUUUAUUGUUUUUGCUUAAGUUUCACUGAAAUAAAUAUGUGGAACUCAGAGCACGCUGCGACUUGGUCCCAUUCUUGUAACACCAGCCAACACUGUAUACUUCCCUUCCCCUCAAUUUGAUUUCACCCCCCUUUUACAUGCGUUCAAUAUAAUAGUUUGAUUAAAAUGUCGACAUGCUUUGCAAGAAGAAUGAUUUCCCUUAUAAUCAGGAGAACGGUUCAGAAUGUUAGGGAUCAAUGACAAAUCCAUCUAAAUAUAUGCACAUUCCCC
rnacentral:lncRNA from 8 species